rnacentral:lncRNA from 1 species
AUGAUGAUAUGGAAGAAAAGCACUCUUUGGCCUGUUGUGACUGGGACAGUUGACAGCACCCAGGUGUCCUUUAAUGAAAAUGCUCUUGACACCAAUGCAUCCUAGCAUCACAGCUUCAGGAAGCCUUCUCAAGUGUGCAUGGGGAGUACUAUGUCUUUCAUCAAUAAUGAAAUCUUCUGAUUUGUAAGACAUGCUGCCAAGAGAUGUGCCAUUCUAUUAUAAAAGAUCAGUAGCUUCCUUUACCGACGUGUAUAUUCUAUCUAGAACAUUGAGCUAUGGAAGACUCCCACCUAAGGGAAUUAGUUUUACACCUUCAGGUCAGCUUACUGUAUGAUUAAGUAACACAAGGCACAGUAGCCAUCUUUUUCAUUAUGUUGCAACACUGAUCACGUGCCUCGAUAAAAUGGCUGAUUCAACAAGAUGAUGGCAACACGAAGGGGAGACUUUG